UACAGAGGUCUCGAGCGUUGUUCGGAUUCAUUGGGCGUAAAGGGCGCGUAGGCGGCGGGGUAAGUCUGGUGGGAAAUCUCGGAGCUCAACUCCGAAAUUGCACUGGAUACUGCUCUGCUAGAGGGCUGGAGAGGAGAUCGGAAUUCACGGUGUAGCAGUGAAAUGCGUAGAUAUCGUGAGGAAGACCAGUGGCGAAGGCGGAUCUCUGGACAGCUCCUGACGCUGAGGCGCGAAGGCUAGGGGAGCAAACGGG
rnacentral:rRNA from 1 species